rnacentral:rRNA from 1 species
GUCGAGCGGAUGAAGAGAGCUUGCUCUCUGAUUCAUCGGCGGACGGGUGAGUAAUGCCUAGGAAUCUGCCUGGUAGUGGGGGACAACGUUUCGAAAGGAACGCUAAUACCGCAUACGUCCUACGGGAGAAAGUGGGGGAUCUUCGGACCUCACGCUAUCAGAUGAGCCUAGGUCGGAUUAGCUAGUUGGUGAGGUAACGGCUCACCAAGGCGACGAUCCGUAACUGGUCUGAGAGGAUGAUCAGUCACACUGGAACUGAGACACGGUCCAGACUCCUACGGGAGGCAGCAGUGGGGAAUAUUGGACAAUGGGCGAAAGCCUGAUCCAGCCAUGCCGCGUGUGUGAAGAAGGCCCUCGGGUCGUAAAGCACUUUAAGCUGGGAGGAAGGGUUGUAACUUAAUACGUUGCAGCUUUGACGUUACCAGCAGAAUAAGCACCGGCUAACUCUGUGCCAGCAGCCGCGGUAAUACAGAGGGUGCAAGCGUUAAUCGGAAUUACUGGGCGUAAAGCGCGCGUAGGUGGCUUGGUAAGUUGAAUGUGAAAUCCCCGGGCUCAACCUGGGAACUGCAUCCAAAACUGCCUGGCUAGAGUACGGUAGAGGGUGGUGGAAUUUCCUGUGUAGCGGUGAAAUGCGUAGAUAUAUGGAGGAACACCAGUGGCGAAGGCGACUUUCUGGUCUGCAACUGACGCUGAUGUGCGAAA